rnacentral:rRNA from 1 species
GGCGAACGGGUGAGUAAUACAUAGGUAACCUGCCCCUGUGCGGGGGAUAACAGGAGGAAACUCCUGCUAAUACCGCAUAGCCAUGAGCACCGCAUGGAGCUCAUGCCAAAUAUCCUUUCGGGGAUAGCGCAGGGAUGGACCUAUGGCGCAUUAGCUUGUUGGCGGGGCAACGGCCCACCAAGGCAACGAUGCGUAGCCGGCCUGAGAGGGCGGACGGCCACAUUGGGACUGAGACACGGCCCAGACUCCUACGGGAGGCAGCAGUAGGGAAUUUUCGGCAAUGGGGGAAACCCUGACCGAGCAACGCCGCGUGAGCGAAGAAGGCCUUCGGGUCGUAAAGCUCUGUUGUAAAGGAAGAACGGCGCAUACAGGAAAUGGUAUGCGAGUGACGGUACUUUACCAGAAAGCCACGGCUAACUACGUGCCAGCAGCCGCGGUAAUACGUAGGUGGCGAGCGUUAUCCGGAAUCAUUGGGCGUAAAGAGGGAGCAGGCGGCCGCAAG